AGCCACGUGCCUCCUGAGGGCGUCAACAUCUCCGUCACCGCCACCUACAGGCAGACACUCUGGCAGACUUCCACCACCAUCACCACCACCACCACGAGUACCUCAAUGGAGACCGGCUUGAUUACCACCAGUGUUCCGUGUGGUCGUUUCCUUCCAUCUGCCAUUCUGUUUCCGCCUCCACAACAUCCACUGCAGGGGAGAAGAGCCCUGCCGUAUUUCUUCCUUUGAUUGGAUUAGUGUGAGGGAAAGUGUGACGGAUUGAAGAAGCGCAGACGAGGUGGCCUGGUGACGCUGAGCCGCGGCUGUAAGGGAGACAGAGGCACGUGGCAGUCUCCGCCGAGGGAACAAACACCAGCUGGAGACCAAUUUAGGUGCAGUGCCGAGGCGUGUUAAGAGUGUCGCCUUUCACUGCUGUAUGAGACACAUAUUACACGCCACUCCUGUAUUGAUAAAGGGACAAGAGAAGGAAUGAAAUAGACGUAAAGGAGAAGAUUAAGAAGAAAAGGAAGAAGAAGAAGAAGAAAGUAAGGAGGCGACGCGAGCGGGAGACUGAGCUAAACAGAAUGACAUAAAGGUUUGUGAGUCGUGAAGAGCUCUAAUAAUCGUACUGGACUCGCUGCAUGGACUUUCUCUCUCUCUCUCUCUCUCUCUCUCUCUCUCUCUCUCUCUCUCUCUCUCUCUCUCUCUCUCUCUCUCUCUCUCUCUCUCUCUCUCUCUCGUCAGCUGGGAAAGGGAAGUGUCAAUAUUUGGGGGGGAGGUUCUUCACUUGGCCCAGUCCGUCUCAAGAUCUUUCCUCUUCUUCCUCCUCCUCCUCCUCCUCCUUCUCCUUCUCCUUCUCCUUCUCCUUCUCCUUCUCGUCCACACACUCGCAGAGAGAAUGAAAGGCAGAUGAGUAUAAGAAGACGAAGUUAUUGACGCCUACACACACACACACACACACACACACACACACACACACACACACACACACACACACACACACACACACACACACACUCAAUGAAACGGGAUUCACCAUUGCGUAACAGCCAAGAGAGAGAGAGAGAGAGAGUAACGGGCCGUAACGCAGCAUCACCAGUAACGGAAGGAGCGAAGCGAACGUCACACAGCGGAACCCAGACAGCACUUAACUUAUCCAGGGGGGAAAAAAAGGAGGGAAGGACAAAAAAGAGAUGAGAUACGAGAGAAAAAGCAGGAAAAAAUAGAACCAAACGCAACGGAGUGGAGAUAACAGUGGUGGUUAGAAAAUACAAUGAAAAGAGUUAGGAGGAUGAUGAAUUAUGUGAAAAAGAAGACGGGAUAUGAAAUUUAAGGAGAGAUAUCAGUCGUGGUAAAAAAGAAAAAAAAGUGAAAGGAUGAUAAAUGAAAUGAAAAUAAGAAAAAAUAGCGUUGAUUCUUCGCAUGGGACGGAAUGAGGGAAAGUAGAGGAGGAAAAAAAGUGAGGAAAAUAUAUUCUUUGCAGGACAGGAAAUGUAAUGGAUGAUGAAGAAACUCGUUCCAAGAAGAAAAAGGAGGAAAGAAGUGUUAAAAUGUUAAAUGAAGUGAAAUAAAGGAAAAAAAUAAUAAUUGUAGUUCUUGGUUGGAUAUGAUGAGGAAAGUAAAUGAGGAAAAGAGAAGAAAACAAAAUAGUAAUGGCGGAUGACUAGGAGAGCAAAUAAAAAAAGGAAAGAAAAA